GAAAAGAUGGGGUUGAGAAUGUGAUUUUGCUCUUCUUGAUUCAAACCAGAGAAAGAUUAGAUUUGAUCUCGGAGUUUCUUGAUGACACUUUGAUCUAAGUUGCUUGAAGGGGAUUCUUUUUCUCCUUUGUGGUUUAGAUUAAGGUAGAGAGUAAUGUCGAGCUCUUAUCAACAUUUUUCAUGGUUUGAGGCUUGAAGAACAUUCACGUUUUUCAAGCUCACUCAUGUGGACAACCUUGGCCCUUGUCUGAGAA